GAUGAACGCUGGCGGCAUGCUUAACACAUGCAAGUCUUUCGCUAAGCUGUUCUUGCACCGCCUAUCCAGGGCGGACGGGUGAGUAACGCGUAACGAACUGGCCCUGCCUUCAGGGAUAACAGACGGAAACGACUGAUAAGCCCGGGUAAAGUCAGCCGGACUCCUGGCCAGCUUGAUGGAAAGAGAUGCUGCGGGAGAGCCUUGCGUCCUAUUAGCUUGUUGGUGGGUUAACGGCCCACCAAGCCGAUGAUAGGUAGCCGGCAUGAGAGGGUGGACGGCCACAAGGCGAAGGAGAGACGGAGCUUACUCCUGGGGGAGGCAGGAGUGGGGAAUAUAGGACAAUGGGGGGCAUGAUGCUGCGGCACUGCUGUGGGAACGAUGACCGUUUUGGGAUGGAAAAGUGCUUUCAGAAGGGAAGAAAAAAUGACGGUACCUGCAGAAGAAGCGACGGCUAACUACGUG
rnacentral:rRNA from 1 species